GUGGGCUGUGGAGAAACGCGUCGCGCUGCUGGACCCCGCGCUGAGCGUCAGUCUGCUGGAGACGCGCUGCGGAACGAGAGUGUGCUGAAGCUGAGGACGCCGCAGUCAUCCGCAGCAGCUCCUGAUGUCUUAAGAUCUCCUGUAGUUGAUGAUCGCCGCGGCCAUCCAGCCCAGAGCAAUGACCCACACUUCCUGCUGCGUUCUGCUGAGCAUCAUGCUCACGCUCACCUGCCAUUUUUGGUCAGUGUGUGCAGAUUUCCCAGCAGUUUUUGGAGGUGAGUCUCAACUGUUUGUUUACAAAGUGAUUCAAUGAGGUUUCUUUCAGUUAAUAUCAUCCUAAAUUAUGAAACCAUGUUGUGCUUUAAGUUUGGACAAAUGUUCAGAUAGAAAGCCUGGUCAGUUCACAUUG